CCUUUGUUGACCUCUCUCGGAUUCGCAAGAAGAACAAGAAAGGAAGUGAUAUCAAGAGUAAAACACACUAAAACAGCAACAACACUUGAUGAACAAGAUGCAAUAACAACAACACACGGUUACAAGACAAGAACACAAACGGAUUACAACUUUAUGUUUAAUUCGCUUAUAUUGUAGCUCAAUUCGCUUAUAUUGUAGGAGCCGUAGAAUUGGUUGGGGCCGUACAAAUUUACAUACGCUCUUAAGCUGCUCGACCUGUUGGGAACAUAUAUUGUUAUUUUUCAGGGACUACCCUUGUGUUGCAUAUACCUUGUUUACUUCAGUAAAAACAAAAAGUGAUUGUAUGAACUAUCUACCUAGUUGAAUUAUGCACUUUGUAUCAAAAAAAUAUUUUCAUCAGUGUCAUCUUCAAGUAUGGAACUUUGAAGUUCUCUCAUUCUGACAAAAAUCCAUAUUUGUUUUGUCUCAUCUGUUUCUGCUACCGUUGUGCCUGAAAAUAUUUUGUAUUUUCGCCAAGCACAGAAAUCUGACAAGUCUUGAAAGACUGAACUCGCGUAUUAGGCAAAAUACAAGAUUUUCUCGUGUGGCUAGGGGUGACAAUUCAACCAGAUGAGAUGUGGUUUGUUUUGUUAAAAUCUUUUCAGCAGAGUGUAUCUUGUUGAUAGCUCAUGUUUGAGCUCUCAGUAGGCUAGGGUGAUUUCAUUUCACCUUACUAAUCCCGGAGAAGCUUCAAAUACAUGUCUAGAUUGUAUAAACAUACUUCUUAGGUGCUUAGCUACUCUUGCAUUUUGUUUUUUCAAAAUUGUUCUAAAAAUGAUUUUUCUUGUCCAUGAUUAUCUCUGGAUAUUCUAUUUCCUUCGUUUGGGCAGAUUUAUUUCUCCCUCUUUGCACUUUUGUAGCUUUGGUGUUCUGUCUUGUCAUUCCGCCACUUUCUUUGAUUUUCUUAAAGUGGUUCACAAUUGAAGUAUUGGGAUUCUUUCGACUAUCUUGUUGACAUUGUUUUGUUGCAUCCAUCGCCUCCAUGUUGGCAUUUGUCUUGUGGAGUAAGGGCAUUUUCUUGAACUUUCCUCGUGUUGCCUAUGUUCGCUAAUCUAUUUUCUGAUGUUGUUGCUGUUUCCUGUUUUAUCCUUCCUGAAAUAUCCUGGUUUCCUUCAUUUUCUGUUUCCAUAGCAUUCUUAUCUUUUCCCGUAGUCAUGGCCAUCAGGAUGGUGGCGCUAUGUUCAGGAUUGCUACAUGCAUUAACGACCUCUUUGUGAACUUGACCUUGAGUUCUCCUUCUGCAUUAUCUCUAGAGAGUCCACCCUUAUUGUUUUCCUGUAUUUCCCUAUCAAAUUUCAGUUCAGGGUGUAACUCUCUACAUUUCUCAUCACCAUAGUUUCAUAUUCCACGACUUGGGCAAUCACUGUCAUGUGGUCUUCUUUGUUUCUGAUUUCUAGUAAGAUUCACUUAGGGGUUUGGUUAAGUCUAUCUCUACCUUGAUUUUUCACGGCGUAGGUCUAAUUUUUGUGCUAGUGGGGUACCAGUUGGCUCCACAAUGCAACAUAGAGCAUCCCAAACGUAGUGAUCCUAAAUUGAGCCUCUAUUUUCAUUGUGUCACACCUUUUUUUUUUCUAACUCCAAAAAGAUUCAUGAUUUUAAUUGUUUUUAAAGGAUUUUUAUUAUUAAGUGACAAAAGAUAAAAAUUUGUUUCGAAAAGGAUUCAUUUUAUUCUAAACUCAAAGUCGCCAAUUGGCAUAAAUCGGGUGUGUCAAGUCACCCGUGGAUAUCCUUUUUCAAAACGGUUUUGACUCUGUAAAAUUGAUCUGAGAAUAGACAUUCCGGCUAAGGAAUUCUGUUGACCGAAGGGAAGGUGUUAGGCACCCCUCGAUCCAGUGGUUCGACCACGAUCGCUUGGUGGAGUAUAUCGGCUAAUUUUGACACUACUAAUGUACAAACCACAAAGACACAUGUAAAGCAAUCAAACAAACAAACCAAACCAAACGUAUAAAAGUAUAGCGUUCAGUCCAAUUAUACAGUCCCAAAAAUAAAAAAAAAUGCUAAAAUAAAUCCUAUCUAACCUAUACUAAUCCUAACUAUGCUCCCUUGCUUUACUCGAUGCCUCGGGCCUUCCUCACGAACAUCUUUCCGCCAACAUAGUACGUCGGGGCAUUCCCCGGUGAAGAAACACAAAUAUCUCGGGGCAUUCCCNNNNNNNNNNNNNNNNNNNNNNNNNNNNNNNNNNNNNNNNACUCAACACAAAUAUUUACACAUUCGAUGAUUAAAAUCCUACGAGUUGCCUACCCCCAAAACCUAGAACAAACCUAGAACUUACCUAUCAGUGCCCGACCUAAGACAUGAUACUAUUACACUUAACAUCAAUAUUUAUUUCAAAAUAAACCGACAACAAUAAAUCAAGCUAAUCCUUCUUCAUUUUAUCAAUUUUUCGAUCCCGACCCCAAACAACAACUUAAAUUCUCAAUCAACGAUUAACUAAUCUUUAGGCUAUCAAUUUAAUCUUCAUAAUUCGAAUUCAACAUCAACCAACAUUUAUGAUUCAAACAUCACAAAAUCAAACAAAGAAAACAAGAUCCACACAUUGUCAAUUCGCCACACAAAAUAUCAAAAUUUAAAAUUAUUCGAGAAAAGGGAUGAGAAAUGGACCUCAAUCGAAGCUUUUAUUAUGCCAAAUAAUGCGAUUAGAAAAUAGAAUCGGGUCCGAAAGCCUCAAGUUGAACCUCAAUCGCGAACUAACCAACUCCAAAACUUGGUAUCACCAAAAUCGAAACCCGGAACUGACCACAAUGACCCAAUCGAGACAAAUCGAACCUUUGAGGCGUGUCUUUCAAUUUUAAAAAUUCUUCAAAAUAGAGUAGCCCUUAAACCUUGAACAAAAUUCACACUCAUUAAAGAAUCGAUCAUGACUUCUAUUUUCGCCUUAACCGAUGGUGCAGAAAACACCAAAAUUCGACCCACGAACCUAGAUUUUUACCCGAAAUCUCGAAAUCGAAGCAAUGAGGGAGAAAGAAAGUAAAUUUGACAGCUCCCCAAGGAAUUCUGUGACUUUUAUGGUUUAUCCUAUGAAGAUCAAUGAGAAGGGAGUCAUCUAGUCAGUAAUGAAAUGGAAUUUUGGAGAUGGAGAUGUGGGUGACGUAUGACCCAAAAUGAAAGGGGGUCUGUGUUGUUAUUCUAGGAAGAAAAGAGAAGGGGGUGUGUGAAUGUCGAUGGUUGUGUGUGUAUGGUGUGUACAGAAAGAGUGACGAUGGAAGGAGUAGUGUUGGUGUUUGUCUAUGGUGAGAGAAUUAUAAGGGGUGAGUGUGAGAGUGUGUGUUCCUUUUUAAGGGAAAGAAAAAUGGAAGAUGAUCAUCCCCUCCCUGUGGGCCCCUCGCCUUAUUCUCCUUUUCUAGAAAACCAAAUUGGAUUCCCUUUUUUUUUUUUUUUUUUUUUUUUUUUCUGAAUGGGAAAGACCAAGCAAUAUUUCAAGUGGUCCUCUUUUUUCUUCCCUUUUUAUCAUGUAAAUGUGAGUAUAUGUAUUGAGAAAAAUGGAAUAAUUCGUGGCCCCACUCUUUUUGGAAUGUAGUCUAAUUGUGGAAGAAAGAAAUGGGAAAUCACGUGAAAGGGGAGUAGGUGGGUUUAGGGGUGAGGUAAGGUAGGGUGUAGGGUGAGGUAGUUUGUUAGGAUGAGGUGUAAAAAGGAUUAGGGUGGGAUAAAAUUUGUUAAGGUGUUUGUUAUUUUUGGUUCUUUUACGAGGAAUAAUUACAUGGUUGAGGGUGUACGGUAAGGUGAGCUGAAAAUGAAUAAAAUUGAACUUGAGAGGAACAAAAUUAGGUGUCUACACAUUGGUUUCAGGUUUGAAAGAGGAGGUCCAUUUGAUGAUUUUCAUAUUUUU
rnacentral:lncRNA from 1 species